ACGGGGGUGGCGAGCGUUGUCCGGAAUCACUAGGCGUAAAGGGCCAGUAGGCGGAUCAGUAAGUCGGAUGUCAAAGACGUCGGCUCAACCGGCGGAAGGCGUUCGAUACUAUUGAUCUAGAGUAAGGUAGAGGAAGACGGAAUUCCUGGUGUAGCGGUGGAAUGCGCAGAUAUCAGGAAGAACACCAGUGGCGAAGGCGGUCUUCUGGGCCAUUACUGACGCUAAAUGGCGAAGGUGCGGGUAUCAAACAG
rnacentral:rRNA from 1 species